ACCCGUGGAAAAGCAUCCGGGAAGAAACUGGCCACAAAAGCCAUUCACGAGAGUGCGCCCUCUACUGGCGGGGUGGAGAAACCUCAUUGUUACAGGCCUGGGACUGGGGUACUCCGUGAAAUUAGGCUUUAUACGAAGUCCAGUGAACUGAUUCGCAAACUUCCCUUCCAAUAUGUGGUGCAAGAAAUUGCUCAGGACUUUAAAACAGAUCUGAGCUUCCAGAGCGCAGCUACUGGUGCUUUGCAGGAGCCAAGUGAGGCCUAUCUGGUUGGCCUUUUUGAGGGCACUAACCUGUGUGUUAUCCAUAUCAAACGUUUAACAAUUAUGCCAGAAGACAUC
rnacentral:lncRNA from 1 species